UUAUGUUUUUUUUUACAUUUUGUGAUGUUGAUGUUGUGGUCCCAAAAUGCUUAUUUUGCCAUGUUUUCCUUGUUCACUUCACAAGAUUAUGUAUUCAUGCUGAUAGUAUGUUACUCUUUCUAGGACCGAUAAUUCUAUAAAGAAUCAUUGGAAUAUGUUUUUUACAUUUUGCGAUGCUGAUGUCUGCAGUCCCAAAAUACUUAUUUAGUCAUGUUUUCCUUGUUCACUUCACAAGUUUUCAUGUUGAUAGUAUGUUACUCUUUCCAGGACAGAUAAUUCUAUAAAGAAUCAUUGGAAUAUUUCUUUGAGAAAGACGUUAGAUGUCUAUAGCACCAGAAAUAUUUUGGCGAUUCCAAGACUAAUUGGCCUUAAUGACUUACGGAUAAACAGAAGACGGCUGCUUCUGAGUGCCAUCUUGAUCUGAACAGCUCAUCAUUCUAAUCUUAGCUCACCUCUACAGUCAUACAAACUGGCAUGCCAAGGACUGCUCAGGGUUCCUAUCGCUUUCUGUUUUACCAACUAAGGUAAUCAAAUUUUGAUCUUCAGCUUGCAAAUUUAUCACCUUAUGGGAGGGAAAGGUUUUGCAUGUACAUGAGCUCUGAUUUUCUACAUAUAUACUUGAAUUGCCUUGGAUUUGUCGGAUUACUAUUCUACAUGAUGUUCUCCAUGAUUCACUUGAUUUGUUAAUUUGAGUAUUUUCCUGGUGAGUUCUUUAGGUUCAUCUUGUGACACAAAAUACAAUUUUGGUACGUGCAGACUCUGAAAUUUGGUGAUAAAGAAGGUACCUCCUAAUUUGCUCUCAGGCUCUCUUACACUUGUCUUUGUUUAUAUAACAGUAGUAGCCGUUGGGUAAUGCAGAGAGAGGUUUGGAAUCGAAGAACUAAAAUAAUGCAGAGGUUAAGGUUCUGAUCGGGAAGCUUGAACAAAUAGUUUACUUUUUCUCUUGUCUUCGAUUAGUUUCAUCCUAUCUAUGCUGUUUCUUGGGUGCAAACACUCCAUUGUGUCUGUGUGACUGUGUGUGACCGUGACUGUGUGUGUGACUGACUGUUUGUGUGUGUGACUGACUGUGUGUGUGUUUCUUUGUCUGUUUCUUGUGUGCAAGCGCUCCAUUGUGUGUGUGUGUGUGUGUUUUGACUGUGACUGUGUAUUGAUUGUGACUGUGUGAAUGUCUCUGUGUGUGUGUUGACUGACUGUGUGUCAUUGUGCAAGCGCUCCAUAACUACCAGUUGGCACCUGAUAAUGCAUGGAUAUUUCUAUAUAAGGUCAUGGGCAUGUAAUUUUUAUGACCUACAUACCUCUGUAGUUGGUAGUAUCAUUGCCCUUUGGACACUCUUCAAUGCAUUGCUGUAUAUUUUCCUGCCACAAGUAUGAUGUUUGUGCUCAGAAUGAUGUAUAUGUAGAAUCCAGGGGUGGAUGGAGGUUUUCAUGAUGGCUAAUCUGAUUUGUUAUGGUUCUGAUGGUGUGCUUCUGGUGUUUGAACUGAACCCGUGGAUCACCCAUCAACCUGGUCUGUGUUUGUAUGGUAAUCCCUCUCGAAUUUAACUCCUUCCAAUUUUGUACACAAUAUUUAUCUCACGGCUGGUAAUACCUUAUGAAUGCAUAUCACACAUUUUAGCUAGUUAUAUAGUAAUGCCAUACUCCUUUGGACGUUCUGUAUAUUCAAGUGUGGUGAGCUCACAUAUUGUGUCAGUAUCUACCUACGCAGCUGAAUUAUUUCCGGAUAGGACAGAGGUGCAAUGUUUACAUCCAUGGCAGAAGGUUCUUUUUCAAAGGUCCUUGGACUCAAGAGGAAGAUGACAAAAUUAUCGACCUUGUAAACAAGUACUCCCUCCGUUCCAAAAUUGGGUAUUCUUUUGAUAUAACUAACAAAAUAGUCUCAUUGCAAGGCCAGCUACCAGAACUUCCUGUUGAUGAUCCUGGGAUGUUUACGAACAUGCUCCCGAACAUGUUCAAUUUAUCCGCCCUAGUACAGCCAUGACACAGCAGGUUACUCGGCAUGCUCGGUGUGUUUACUUCGGUGGACUUCCUCCGAUCGCUAAUGAACAGACGGUUACUCUAUUGUUCAAUCAAGUUAUGGCUGCUAUCGGGGAAACUCAUUUGGUCUGGGUGAUGCAGUUGUUAAUAUGAAGCUGAUUUUUGAAUUCAUUCAAAACAUCUUAGGUGGCAUAAUCAUGAAUCCAACCAUAUGGAACGAUGCUUGGACUACUGAGGAGGAACAUGCACUGAUUAAUUAUGGGAAUAAAUGAGCAGAAAUAGCAGAAGUUAUUCCUGGAAGGUACUGCAUGCCAAACAACUUACAUCAUGGAUCUUGCUUGUAGUAUUAGCUUUCUGUUUGUGCCCUUUCUAUCUCUUGUGUGUGUGUGACUGACUGUGUGUGUGUGUGUGACUCUGUGUAUGUGUGACUGUUACUCUGUGUGCGUGACUGACUCUGUGUGACUGUUACUCUGUGUGUGUGACCGACUCUGUGUGACUGUUACUCUGUGUGACUGUUACUCCGUGUGUGUGACUGACUCUGUGUGACUGUGACUCUGUGUGACCGACUGUGUGUGCUUGAUGGUGUGUCCUGUAUGCUUUGCUUGAUGAUGUGUCCUGUAUGCUUUGCUUGAGUGAUUGUUGUGGUUUAACACUGCCUUUGCCGGUCCCAAGCCCGGAUGUGAAAAUGUGGAGGGAGCUGCAUUGAUACUGCAUUUGCUUGAUGGUGUGUCCUGUAUGCUUUGCUUGAAUGAUUGGUGUUGUAUAAUUUGUGUUUUGUAUUGUUGUGGUUUAACACUGCCUUUGCCGGUCCCAAGCCUGGAUGUGAAAAUGUGGAGGGAGAUGCAGUAGUUACCUUCUUUGUAUUGUUUGCAUUACCUUCUUUGUAUUGUUUGCAUUACACACAAUUUGCACUACCUUCUUUGUGGUUAUUGCCCUGAUCGAAAUAGUGGAUCUUCACA